AAUACGUAGGGGGCAAGCGUUGUCCGGAAUUAUUGGGCGUAAAGCGCGCGCAGGCGGUUCUUUAAGUCUGGUGUUUAAACCCGAGGCUCAACUUCGGGUCGCACUGGAAACUGGGGAACUUGAGUGCAGAAGAGGAGAGUGGAAUUCCACGUGUAGCGGUGAAAUGCGUAGAUAUGUGGAGGAACACCAGUGGCGAAGGCGACUCUCUGGGCUGUAACUGACGCUGAGGCGCGAAAGCGUGGGGAGCAAACAGGA
rnacentral:rRNA from 1 species